rnacentral:lncRNA from 1 species
AGAGGGUGGGCCUUAACGCUAGGUUUCGCAUUUCUUAAAAUUAUGUUGGCCAUUACCGUGUUAUUCAGUGCGUCCAUAGCGCGGUACAUCCCUGGAGCGGGGGUGACGGGCUGGUCGCUAUCGUUAACACAAAACAUGUGUUUUGCCGUUUGCCAAAUGGCAACAUCGAGGAAAUUCCGUCAGGUCACUAAUUUCUGAAAUUCUAAGGAACCCUGUAGAAUACGACUUUAUGAUACCCGAGCUUAAAGCAAAAAAGUAGACAAUAGCUGAUUUUUAAAAUGACCUUUAUGUGCCGCAUACUGGCUGCAGACCGGCCUACUGAACUCACAAAGAAGAAAAACUAACGGUUUACGAAUGAUUUUAUGAAUAUUUGGCCGUAUCAUAAAGUGGUCUCCUUGCUGUCUUAACAAUUGAUCUCUAUAUUUUAGAAGGCUUUACAUCUACCAAUUAAACGUACUGUUUUAUGGACUGAUUCGACCAUCGUACUACAUUGGCUGAUGAUAUCUCUUCAAACCGAGUAGCUGAAAUCUAAGCAAAUACAAAUGCAGCAGAUUGGCGAUAUGAGUGAGUCUCUCUAUGACUCAUUACUCAUAAACUCAGUUCAUCCAGAAAAUCCGUGUCCACCUUCCGAAUCAAGAGACAAAAACCAUACGGCCGCAAUGGAAGCACUAGAUUGUUCAGAGAGAGGUUGCACGUGUUACGCGACGGUCCCACGCUGCGAUGCAUUCCAAAGAUGUCGUCAAGUGCGAGAGAACGCUUUCCGGACCACCGACUCACUCUCAGUUGCAAGAUAAGCGCACCGCAUUCUUGAAUGCGCCGACUCCCACGCUAGCAUUCCCCCACCACUCGCCAUGGUGUUUGCGCGUGGCGCGACAACGACGACUCACUCAUUCAAUCGUGCUUCGUGUUGGAGUAAGGACGCACAGUGGAAUCAACCCCUUAAUCUUUGAAUUGACAGUAGUAAUUGAGCACCAAUUCGCCGAACAAUCUGUUGUUGUAGGAGCGAUUAAAAUUGCUGUAAAAUAUUUAGUAGUUUAUUACUUUGGACGUUGUGUGUGACGUUUAUCCUGCGAUUCGACUGGAAUUUUGGCGCAUAAUUGCAGCCGAUUGCAGACGUUCGACAGGAUGAAGACAGAAACCAAACCGCGUAAGCGCAAGCGCGGUUGCCGCGCCGGAAGGAAAGUGAGAGAACGAAAGCUACGGGCCAUGGAACAAACACUUUUGGAACAGACACGUGGGCCCACUGUCAUUACGAUAGAUUCGGAUCAAGAGCGCGCGACGGCUCAACCAGAAGUGAAACUACCCUAUGACAUCCUGAAUAAGGAUAAAAUAAUUUAAAAAAAAAAAAUACGCCGACUUCGAAAUUAAACGUUUACUGAAGUAUUUUUA